UCAAGACUGAUCUCAAGGAACUUUCUUCCCAUCCAGUGAAUGAAUCCUAGUCAUUCCGUAGCGGACCGUCGGACAGAGAUGGAAUCCACAGCAGUAGCGUGACAGAAGAUACAUUACACCGGUCACUGGACCCAUGAAGAGAGAAACUCUGUCUUUUUGCAGUAACAACAGAAAUUCAAACCAUUUUUCAGGGGCCAAGUACGCGUUAUCCGCCCGGGUGCAACGGCUGGACAUGUCACCAGAUGAGCAACUUAAUGUCGGCAAUAUAUUCGAUGACCAGAAAACCAACUGUGUAUGAAAGAACUGAAGUGAGAACUCAAGGGUGUCCUGGUGUCCUUCAGCCUUUCAUGGAGCAGCGACGUUAUUAGUUGCUACAGAUGUUUAAUAGGUAUCCUUCCUGUGCCUCAGCAUUGGGAACAGGGUCUGGCUGGGAUGGAGUCAGCUUUCUUCGUAGCAGCCCGUGUGGUGCCGCGUGUGAGCUUUGGGACCAGAGGGAUAUCCUGUGCCACAGAGCACCAGCAACAGAAACGGGGGAGAGUUUCUCCAAAGUGUUCAUUGUGCGGAGACCGGGGGCGCAUCAGU